CUUCCGUUCUCCCCGCACAGGAGGCGGAACGAGGACUCGUGGCGUGAUCUGCCCUGACCGCGCCGGAGUCCUGGAGCUCCGGGCUGCGGUGCCGGACGGGCCGAGGGUCCCGAUCCGGUGC
rnacentral:ncRNA from 1 species